GGUUGUAUAGUGUAGUGGUUAUCACAGUUGGUUUUGAUCCAAUUAACCCCAGUUCGAAUCCGGGUACGACCU
rfam:Candida tenuis ATCC 10573 unplaced genomic scaffold CANTEscaffold_00021, whole genome shotgun sequence.